ACUUCUCGAUUAGCGAGUCGUCCUAGUUUUCGACGAGGCGCUCGGCAUGCAACGAAGAAGUUGCACAACACGAAGAUCGCGCAGAAAUGAGAAAUCAGCAAGUUUGUUCGCGCAUACAAGUGACUGACCGCUACAGGCGGGUUUGAGACGCCGGUGCAGAGUGACCAGACUGAACCCUAAUACGCACAGUAACCUAGUGUUUGGGAAAGGAAUCCCAUCCCCCAUGACAAAUCUUUAAAUCAUAAAUUUACAAGCACAUUCUUAAUGCGUUUUCGCUGUUUAUACGCGUAUCGAUCGUCAGUCUUUAUGAGGAUUCCAGACCCGGCAGUGAACUUCCAAAAUACGGGCAAUGGAUGAACAGAACUUUGUUGGCGCAACCUGGAAAAUGACAAGAAUAUCUGGCGCUCCUGAUGGUCAUUUUGCCACAUAAUAAGGUUUAUCAAGAUGUGCCGGAAGCAUGGACCGAGGAUUCCACAAAAUCCUUAAGAAAGUGUGUUAUAUGGUACUGGGCGUUCGAGUCGGCACCCUACAGAUUUCGGGAUCCCGGCUUCUCGACUGGGAAAUCUUAAUUAAUGAAGAAGUUAGGCAUAAGGAAUUUAUCCCGGUGCAGCAUUUUGUCUCAGCUCAUUUGCAAGUUGGCAGCGUUUGCAUAAUUUUGGCACAUGUGCAUCCUUGUA